rnacentral:misc_RNA from 1 species
GAUGAAGAACGUAGCGAAAUGCGAUAAGUAAUGUGAAUUGCAGAAUUCAGUGAACCAUCGAAUCUUUGAACGCACAUUGCGCCCGGCAGUAAUCUGCCGGGCAUGCCUGUCCGAGCGUCAUUUCUGCCCUCGAGCCUGUCCAGCAUCUAGGUGCUGUUCAGGUCCGGCGUUGGGGCACUACGGGAAGCCUCGUGCUAUCCCCCGUAGGCCCCGAAAUGAAGUGGCGGUCCUGCCGCGGCUCCCCCUGCGUAGUAUUACAGCUCGCUUCGGGACCCGGUGGAGGCCUGCCGUCAAACCUUACUCUCUAAGUUUGACCUCGGAUCAGGUAGGGUUACCCGCUGAACUUAAGCAUAUCAAUAAGCGGAGGA